AUUGACUAAUGUGGCUGGGCUAAAGGCAGAAAUAGAAAGAUGGAGGGAUUUGAAAAAGAGCAAUGUGAUUUUAGCUGAGAAUCCACAGAGGCGUUGGAUGGAAAAGCAACCGUGUCUUUUGCACAAAAACCCACAUGCACCAUGGCGACCGAUCAGUGAUGUGCGUGAGGUUCAUGGCAGGGGACGCCGCAGAGGAGACAUGAUUGUCACGUAUCAACUCCUGAACAACAAAUACAAGGUGGACACGGAUACGUUACUCCCCAGACACAGCGGUGACAGGACUCGAGGACACUCUCCGAAGUUGAUCAAACCCAGAGCGAACAGACAGAUAAGACAACAGUUCUUUAGUAACCGAAUCAUAAACGACUGGAACUCUCUACCAAACCAUGUUGUGAUAGCACCGUCCCCUGAUGCUUUUAAAUCUGGACUAGACAAACACUGGAGGGACUAUCUCUACAACUACUAGAUUUUUGUUGUCCAAAAAUCUAUGUUAAGACCAGUAGUAUACAUAGGCAUAUUGCCUUCACACUACUGUAACCAUGAUGAUGAUGAU